CGGAGGGUGCAAGCGUUAUCCGGAUUCACUGGGUUUAAAGGGUGCGUAGGCGGGCAGGUAAGUCCGUGGUGAAAUCUCUGAGCUUAACUCAGAAACUGCCAUGGAUACUAUUUGUCUUGAAUAUUGUGGAGGUAAGCGGAAUAUGUCAUGUAGCGGUGAAAUGCUUAGAUAUGACAUAGAACACCAAUUGCGAAGGCAGCUUACUACACAGUCAUUGACGCUGAGGCACGAAAGCGUGGGGAUCAAACAGGAUUAGAUACCCUGGUAGUCCACGCCCUAAACGAUGAUUACUCGACAUCAGCGAUACACUGUUGGUGUCUGAGCGAAAGCAUUAAGUAAUCCACCUGGGAAGUACGAUCGCAAGAUUG
rnacentral:rRNA from 1 species